AUGGUCACCCUGGCAAACCUGGAAGACCUGGUGAGAGGGGUGUUGCUGGCCCUCAGGGUGCUCGUGGAUUCCCUGGAACUCCUGGUCUGCCUGGCUUUAAGGGAAUUAGGGGACACAAUGGUCUGGAUGGUCAAAAGGGACAACCUGGUACUCCUGGCACCAAGGGAGAGCCUGGUGCCCCUGGUGAAAAUGGUACCCCAGGACAACCUGUAAGUAUUCACUGCUGCUGUGGGAAAGUGUAAUCUGAUGGAUUUAGUUCAGCCAGCAUUUUCUUCAA
rnacentral:lncRNA from 1 species